GAUGAACGCUGGCGGCGUGCCUAAUACAUGCAAGUCGAGCGAACAGACGAGGAGCUUACUCCUCUGACGUUAGCGGCGGACGGGUGAGUAACACGUGGAUAACCUACCUAUAAGACUGGGAUAACUUCGGGAAACCGGAGCUAAUACCGGAUAACAUGUUGAACCGCAUGGUUCAACAGUGAAAGACGGUCUUGCUGUCACUUAUAGAUGGAUCCGCGUCGCAUUAGCUAGUUGGUAAGGUAACGGCUUACCAAGGCAACGAUGCGUAGCCGACCUGAGAGGGUGAUCGGCCACCCUGGAACUGAGACACGGUCCAGACUCCUACGGGAGGCAGCAGUAGGGAAUCUUCCGCAAUGGGCGAAAGCCUGACGGAGCAACGCCGCGUGAGUGAAGAAGGUCUUCGGAUCGUAAAACUCUGUUAUUAGGGAAGAACAAAUGUGUAAGUAACUAUGCACGUCUUGACGGUACCUAAUCAGAAAGCCACGGCUAACUACGUG
rnacentral:rRNA from 1 species